GCUUAGGGAAUCAAAUUAGGAGACAUUCAAAAAUGGCAAGGAUCAAAUGUUAUCACUUUAUUGCUACAACUUAUUUAUUUGGGAUUAAAAUUAUAUUCACAGUAUGAUAAUCUUCAAAUGUAUUUUGAAAUACGUUGGAACUAUUUUGAAACCUCAAAUAUUUAGGGACUGAGAGGAGCAAGAGCCUUUUAGCCAAAAGAACAAUGAGAUGGUGGAGAACAGAUGAGGUGCUGUGGGCAGAUAAAUGGUCACAGCUGGGUGGGAAGGGGCAGUGAACACCCAAUUAAUUACAGAUGUUAGUCAAGAACAACUUCCUCUGCAAGAAUACAACCAGUGCACAUUAACAAUUACAGAAAAGACUGGGCAACGAGGACUUC
rnacentral:lncRNA from 1 species